ACCCACUGAGCCACCUAGCUGCCCCCCCCCCCACUAUUUUGUCCAUUUUGCUGAGGACACUGAGGCCCACAGAAGGAUGAGACUCGUUCGUUUAGAGGAGGCUGGGACCUCAGAGGAAGCCAAAGGGGAUGAAGUGAUUUGCUCAAGAGUGGGUUAGGCUAGGCCUUGGGAGUUGUUUCACAUGGUAGGAUAAUCGCGGUUGUGGCUUUUGGUUGGGACAACGUUGCGCUAACUCUGGGGUUUUCUUAGCCGGCGCUGGAGUGGCUUGUCAAUUCCUCCGCCAGCCCAUUUUAUAGAUGGGGAAACCGAGGCAAAGCGAAUUAAGUAGUUUGUCCAGGGCUUCAAAUUGGCUGCCCGGUCCCCGCAGUCCUAAAUAAAAGGGCGACUGAAGGCUCGCUGGCCCGAGGCUCGGGGAGAACGAGGCAGAAUUUCCCUUUAUGGGCAGCAGCCAAUCCACAAGGAUGAACAAUGAACAAAAGUUCCCUUUUCUGCCAGCCAAUGGCAAGCGCUCGGGGGGAAGUCUUCUCCCGGAGGCGGGCUCGCCAGCUCUCGGGGGGGGGGGGGGGGGGGGGAGGGGGAGGGGACCGCGGGGUCGGGAUUGCUAGUCUUUUUUUCAGGUGUGAUCUCGGUAAUGAAUGGGGCGGGGGAGGGGGGCAGGGGGGCGGGGGAGGGGGGGAGGGGGUCGGAGCGGUCGUCUCCACCGCCAGCCUAGGUUAAACAGCAACUACCAAACCUGUGGCGUCGGCGUUAGGCUGGCGAGAACCACAGGCGGACGGGUCCGUUCCUCGCUGGGCGGGCUGGGCCUGAGCUGUGGUUCUGGGGGCAGAAUUCUUUACCUACAGCGCCCGCCCGCCCCCACGGUCCCGCCCCAGAAGGGCCGCCAGACCUCUCCCAGCUGGACACUGGGGGCCCGCCGAACCUGUCCCCGCAGCACGCCUGGCUGGGCUCCUCCCCGCCGCGGUGCCCAGGCGCCCGGAGCGCACUCGGCCCCCCUCGUGGAGAGCCCCAGGGAGCGGGGUUCCCACCCGCCAGGGAAGGCGGACGGGCGCUCUCCGGGGAGCUCGGAGAGGUGGAGCCAGGCGCUCUGGGACCAGCUUCUUACCUGCGGCCGGCCGGGCCGACGGGGCACCCAGAGAUUGGCCUUUGGGCUGGCCGCCUGGCUUGUGAUUGGCCCUCCGGGGAGGGGGUGGGCCGGCCAGCUCGCUCCUGGGGCCCGGACUCUAGGGGCUCUAGGUAACCUGGCCGCGGUGGUUCAUCCAGGCUCCCCUCCCAGCAAGCAUGGCGAGCGGGCUGGUUUUAAAUCACGAACUCUCAAAACUCUUCAACCAACUGUGGGAUGCUGA
rnacentral:lncRNA from 1 species